rnacentral:rRNA from 1 species
UACAGAGGUCUCAAGCGUUGUUCGGAUUCAUUGGGCGUAAAGGGUGCGUAGGCGGCGCGGUAAGUCGGGUGUGAAAUUUCGAGGCUUAACUUCGAAACUGCAUUCGAUACUGCCGUGCUUGAGGACUGGAGAGGAGACUGGAAUUUACGGUGUAGCGGUGAAAUGCGCAGAUAUCAGGAGGAACACCGGUGGCGAAGGCGGGUCUCUGGGCCGAUACUGACGCUGGAGGAGCGAAAGCGUGGGGAGCGAACAGG